rnacentral:rRNA from 1 species
AUAGCGUAUAUUAAAGUUGUUGCAGUUAAAAAGCUCGUAGUUGAACCUUGGGCCUGGCCGGCCGGUCUGCCUCACCGCAUGCACUGGUUUGGCUGGGUCUUUCCUUCUGGCAAGCCGCAUGCCCUUCACUGGGUGUGUUGGGGAACCAGGACUUUUACUUUGAAAAAAUUAGAGUGUUCAAAGCAGGCAUUGGCUCGAAUACAUUAGCAUGGAAUAAUAGAAUAGGACGUGUGGUUCUAUUUUGUUGGUUUCUAGGACCAUCGUAAUGAUUAAUAGGGAUAGUCGGGGGCAUCAGUAUUCAAUCGUCAGAGGUGAAAUUCUUGGAUCGAUUGAAGACUAACUACUG